AAUAAACAUCAACGCUCCGUUUCGGUUACAAUAAUUCAAGUAGUUUUCGUAUUGUUUACUUCAGUGGUCGGCGGAUUCUUAUUAUAAACGUGUCAUACAUUAUGAAGAACAUUUGAAAAGGAAAGCGGACAUUGAUCCCGCAUUGGCUGGAUUGGUUUCCCACGAUUUUCAGCCAUUCAACAUCGUCACAAAUAUACUUGUACUUCAAAUAAUUUUAAGAAAUUGUAAAGGAAUAGUGACAUAUUUUAGAAAUAGCACGAUAGCGUAUGAGAAAUUACUGAGAAGCCGUAUAGUUUGCUGCAAGAAACACCAACUCGACGGAAUAGUACUUAUUUUACGAUUAAAUGUAUAAUAGCUACCAAAGAUGCCAUGUCACAGGUGCCUUUGGAAACUAAGAAAGCUCCCGCACCACUUGCAGCAGAUGAAAUAUCCGUUUUGUCUGAGAUACUAAGUUUGUUAGAAAUAUUUCAGAAAGCAACAGAAAAGUGUGACAACAUCGCUGAUGAUUCCUUUGACCUAUGGGUUAAAGCAUCAUCUGAAGCCACAAUUUCGUGCGCAGAUUUGUUUUGUGGAGUAACAAGAAAAAUAUCUACAUUUGAAACGAAAACACCAUCGCGGAUGGAUACAUUACUCGACCCUCGUUUCAAAAAAGAAGGUUUUGAGUCUGAGACUAAUACACAAAAAUCUAUGUUUUAUUUGCUUAGAGCAGGAAUUGGCAUCUUUACGUGAGAAAAUAAUUCACAGUGCGGACUGCACCAUGAAUGAUCAUCAUCAUCUUUGCAGUAAAAACUUCACGUUAAGAUAGCAUAAUAAUGCUGAGGCAAUAUUAUGAAAGGGCCAACAUUAAGAGCAGUGCAGAUCCACUUCUUUUUUGGAAGUUUCUGCAGGCGCUGAAUUCAAUACAAUAAAAGAUUGUGUGCCUAAGUCUUUAUGUAUUCCAGCAACAUCUGUGGAAUUGGAGCGCAUUUUUAGGAAGCUUGAUUACAAACCGGCGAACGCGC